GCGCGAAAACUUUACAAUGCUGGCAACAGCGAUAAGGGAACCUCGAGUGCCAGGUUACAAAUCUGGCUGUCGAGAUGCCUAAAAAGCAUUUCAUAGCAAGGGCCGGGCAAGACCGGUGCCAGCCGCCGCGGUAACACCGGCGGCUCGAGUGGUAACCGUUAUUAUUGGGUCUAAAGGGUCUGUAGCCGGCCGGAUAAGUCUCUUGAGAAAUCUGGCAGCUUAACUGUCAGGCUUUCAGGAGAUACUGUCUGGCUCGAGGCCGGGAGAGGUGAGAGGUACUUCAGGGGUAGGGGUGAAAUCUUGUAAUCCUUGAGGGACCACCAGUGGCGAAGGCGUCUCACCAGAACGGGUCCGACGGCAAGGGACGAAAGCUAGGGGCACGAACCG
rnacentral:rRNA from 1 species